AUGGCCUGGUUACCUCUCCUCCUCACCCUCUUCACUCACUGCACAGGAUCCCGGGCCCAGUAUGUGAUGAUUCAGCCGCCCUCAGUUUCUGGGGCCCUAGGCCAGAGUGUCACCAUCUCCUGCAAAGGAAUCCCUGAAAACAUUGAAAUUGAUAACUCUGUGAGCUGGUACCAACAACUCCCAGGAAAGACACCCAAACUCCUCAACUAUGAUGAUGAUAAGAGACACACUGGGGUCCCCAACCGAUUCUCUAGUUCCAAGUCAGGCAGCUCAGCCUCCCUGACCAUCACUGGACUCCAGGCUGAGGAUGAGGCUGAUUAUUACUGCCAGUCCUAUGAUCUCAGCUUCGAUGCUCACACAGUGCUCUGUGCCUGUGGGGAAACCGCUUUUAUGAUAAAGAGAAUUGGUAGUUUAUAA